AGGUGACAAGAGAUAGUCAGACAGACAAACAGAGAGACAGACAAAAGCUAGUGAAACUCAGGCCACACCUGUGGAGUCAGACGUUAAUGGACAAGGUGUCUGGUCAGUGUCAUGUGGUUGUAUUUGGCUGAGGAGGCUGGUGUAGACUGGCAGGACGGGUCUAUAUAUCUAGAAGAUGAUGCUGGUCUAUGUAUCUAGGGUCUAUGUAUCUAGAUGAUGAUGCUGGUCUAUGUAUCUAGGGUCUAUGUAUCUAGAUGAUGAUGCUGGUCUAUGUAUCUAGGGUCUAUGUAUCUAGAUGAUGAUGCUGGUCUAUGUAUCGAGGGUCUAUGUAUCUAGAAGAUGAUGCUGGUCUAUGUAUCUAGGGUCUAUGUAUCUAGAUGAUGAUGCUGGUCUAUGUAUCUAGGGUCUAUGUAUCUAGACGAUGAUGCUGGUCUAGACUUGCAGGACGGGUUCAGGUGUCUGAUUUGAACACAUCUUGUGAGGAUCUAGAGGUCAACAGACCAAAAGUGAAAUGUGCUGUUAUACGAUUACAUACUUGCAUGAACAGGGAAGAUGGAGGAGUGACAUGAUGAGUGGGUGGUCAAGGACGUCAGGGUUAGGGAGGAGGGUGAGGAGAAGGGAGGAGGAGACUGAGAGGGAGGUGGAGGACAGGAAGAGGCAGGAGGAGGAAGAGGAAGAGAGUAGGAGGAGAACAGUAUUGUGUUUUGGUUUGGGAGUGAACUGUUGAUAAGCGAAAUAA